AGUAUAAGUUGCUAAUCUAGACUGGUUAAUGAACUUAGAACUUGAGCUAAAAUAUUGAAAGUAAGGACCAACUUUAGUCGCUUUUGGCAAAAACAAACCCACCGCCAAAAAGCCUUGCAUGUCUAGGAGUCGGUGGAGUAGUUACCACCUGACGGGUAAGCCUUACUCAGUCUUGCUUGUGGCUUCUUUUUCAGGUGUGGUUGCUGGUGUUGUCUUGUUUGGGACCCAUCCUCGGCCGGUGAGGACAGGGGUCAUUGAUGUC
rnacentral:lncRNA from 1 species